rnacentral:lncRNA from 10 species
GUUUGAUCUCAGACUGCUGUGCUAGCAAUCAGCGAGACUCCGUGGGCGUAGGACCCUCCUAGCCAGCAGAUACAAAAAGAAAAAUUACUGUCAUGUGAUGUGUGAUCCAUGAUACCGUCAUAGUUUUGUUUUGCUGUGCUCCACCUUCAUACCUUCGCCUAUGUUAGAACUUCUGAGAAGCUGAAGCAUCACAUAUAAAAAGCCAAGACCAUCCUCAAGGAGUUUAAUGAAUGUGGCAUCACAAGAAAAAUAUGCAUCAACAUUGAAAAAUAUGGUGCCUCCCUCUGGAACAGAGCGCAGUUAUAUUUCCUGCAUAGUAUGGAAAAGAAAUAAAAUUCCAUUAACAGAGCUUGAGGAAGUGGACUUGACUAAGCUGGAGUAAGGAGUGCAGAGAGUGAGGAGACAGGAUGCGAAACAAGAAGAUGAGGAAACUGAAGCCUGAGAACAACAUGAAUUCUACAAUACAUUUACCGUCAGAAGGCAGCGGUGUCAACGGCCACGACGACACCUGGAACUGAUUCCAAGACUUGUGGUCACCGUGGGAAUGCUAUUUAUUGUACAUAGUGACUCACAAAUCUAGGUUAUGUGAACUAUAAAAAGCCUGACUCAGAACUCCAGAGAGUAAGGAGCUAAUACUUUUUGAAAUAUAGGCCAUAGACUGUGAUAUAACGAUGUUUGUAGAGUUAUUUCUCAAGGCAGCAUUAUUCAAAGCAGCAUUCGACAUAGUCAUACAUCCAUUAAUGAAUAUGUGUCAUGACAUUAACCAAAAUAGCUUCAGAUAACAAUUAGCAUACGUACUUCUGGGCAUAUUUGGUGAGAGAGAAGGAAGUAGAGGUAGGACUGAGGUUGGAAGUGUGGGAAGGGGGAGGGACUCUAGCAAAGAAAGAAGGGUGGGCGCUGUGGAGGGCCAGUGAGGGAGGGGAACUGAGGCCAGGAUCCCCCAGCAGCCCAGGUCUGAGUCAUGGGGAGAGGACUGGAGGAUCUGGGAGAAGGACCAUGAAGCUUUCUUCUGCCCCAGCUCAACUUCGAUGUCACCCAAAAAUGUUAAGUUUCCCUUCAGGUCCUGCAUUUGAAUGAUUUUAGUUCUUCCUCCCUUACUCCAAAUUUCCCCAACAUUUAUCAAUAGCUGACAUUCCGUCAGAUACUGAGAAUUAAGAUGACCUAAAACGCAAAGGCUUGGAAAAGACAAUGGUCCCUUAGUGGAAAUAAAAAAUAGAACAAAUCCAUCAAAUGGAAAAGACUGAGGUGUGAUCAUUUCCUGUUUUGACUAAGGAGAGAAUCUGAAAACAGGAUACCAGCUACCUCAUCUAGGGGAGAAGAAGGAAUAAGGUUUUAAAAAGAGGGACAUGAAGACACAGAAUGAAACCUUCAAUAGCAUCACCACUCACAGUGGGGCCGUGGAAGGAGCUAAGCACCAAGUGUAUCAUACUCUGCAGCCAGGAAAGGGAGUUUUACCCUUAAAUGAUUUAUGAAGAUUCUGUGGGGGUGUUUUGUAGAUGUUAUUGGGAGUUUUAUUGUUUGCUAUUUCUGUUGUUUUUAACAUCGCUAGCUUCCUAUAAAGAAUUUUUCCCCCCAGGGGAUUCUAUCCCUGUAACUAUAUUGACUUAAUUCUGGAGCACCAGUGCAAUUAAAAGACAGUUCUAAUUAAUAGGCAAUAGAAUGGUUGUAUGUAAAAGAUUUCAGCAGUUUAUGCUUGGUGCACUAAACGAAUCUGAAAAAAGUCACAAAAGGCAUCAGAGCUCCAUUAGAAUUUAUCAGCUGAGAUGCUUGGAAUAUUUUUCACACUGGGUAGUCACAUCACUCCCUGCAGUUGAGAUUGGACUGAAAGAAAAAAAGGUCGACAUAUUUUUCUGUACCGGUGGCAGUAAAAUGGCUUCUCAUUUCAACUGAGAAGUACCAACCACCAGAGCAAAAGCACCUUUACAGCAGGAAUUCUACUUCUGACCCACCAAGGAAAAACACGAUAUAAUCACUGUCUCUAAUUUUCCAGCCAGCAGCCAGACUAACUGGGUCUGACUGUAGGAUUUGGGGUCAGACUGCCUGGGUUCCCACCCUGCCUCUGGCCACGAAGAAUAAGUAGAAUCCUGGACAGAUAAACUGAAUCUCUCCGCUUUCAUGUCCUCAUCUGCAAAAUGGGAUAGUAACAGUGCCUUCCUCCUAGGACUUGGUAAAGAUUGCAUGAAUAACUCACAUAAUGCAUUCAGAAUGCUGUUUAGCAGCACAGACAGCACUCGAUGAAUUUUGUGCUACGAUUAUUAUCCAGGUCCAUCAUUAGACACUGUGAUGGGGUGUAAAGAAACUGUAUGAUUAAGCACAUUCCAUACUUCAUAUCAUGAUCCAAUCUAAUAAUGCACAGUAGGGGGUGGAGAGGAAGAGGUUCUGAACUCUGAACUUUCAAAUAAAUGAAGUUCUGCCAUGAAACGCUGCACAAACCAUGACAAUUCCAAGUACUCUUCUAUUAAUGCCAAUGAUUUCCAAGCACUUGAACAAAAGAGGAUCGUUGGUUAUCCACAUAGGCUAAACAGUGUAAAUCUUUCACAUUGUAUUGUAUUAUCACUUAUGUACUUCUUGAAAACCAUUUUAUUGAGGUAUGAUUGACAUACAAAAAGCUGUUCAUAUUUAACCUAUACAACUCAGGGAUUUUGGAGAUGAGUAUAUACCCAUGAAACUAUCACUACUAUCUAUGCCAUAAACCUAUCAUCUCCAAAACUUCCUUUAUUAUAAUUAUUUUUAUGAUAACAGUACUUAACAUAAGAUCUACCCUCUUAGAAAAUUUUUCAGUAUACUAUCCAGUAUUGUUAAGUACAGGCACUAUGCUGUAGAUCUCCAGGACUUAUUCAUCUUGUAUAACUUUAAAAAAUAACAUCCUUGAUAGUCUUACUCCUACAUGCAGUCUUUCUAUAAACUUGCAAUAAAAAUAUUAUUAAGAAAUUUAAACAUUUAUUUCCCUACCUAUCCCAGGACAUCUAGAAAAGCAACACAUUUAUUGAGAAUUUUUGGUCUUUGCAUGAGUCUAAGAGUAAGAAAGUAUGAAUUAAGGUGGUCAAGACAUGCUGAGGGUCAUUUUGCUAAUCUUGUCGGCUUCCCAGGUUCUGAAAUCCCUGCCUGUGUUUGGAGAAUCCUCCCCUUAUUUGGCACAGUGUGCCAUUCUCGCAGUCACAGCAUUGGCAUGAGUCCUAGCCAUACCCAGAUCUUGAAUAGGAAAAAUUGGAUAGCUGCUCUGCAGCGUCCAGGCAGCAGCAGCUAUGACUCUAGGCAAAGCUACAAGUUCCAAGUUCCAAGUUCUGUG